ACUACAGCUGAACCUGGUGCAAGGUAGGAGCCACCAGCUGGAUCUUCCCCAGUCCUGCCCCUUGCUGCACAGUGAUUUACCUCUCUGCUAGCUGGCCUUGGUACUCAAAACAUAUUGCUGGGGUGGGUCACAUGACUGCUCUUGUUUUGGCUUCCCUUUGCUUCCCCAUCAGAAAAGGGGAGGGGGCUUCAGG